AGUCGAACGGUAACAGGUCUUCGGAUGCUGACGAGUGGCGAACGGGUGAGUAAUACAUCGGAACGUGCCUAGUAGUGGGGGAUAACUACUCGAAAGAGUAGCUAAUACCGCAUGAGAUCUACGGAUGAAAGCAGGGGACCUUCGGGCCUUGUGCUACUAGAGCGGCUGAUGGCAGAUUAGGUAGUUGGUGGGGUAAAGGCUUACCAAGCCUGCGAUCUGUAGCUGGUCUGAGAGGACGACCAGCCACACUGGGACUGAGACACGGCCCAGACUCCUACGGGAGGCAGCAGUGGGGAAUUUUGGACAAUGGGCGAAAGCCUGAUCCAGCAAUGCCGCGUGCAGGAUGAAGGCCCUCGGGUUGUAAACUGCUUUUGUACGGAACGAAAAGCCUGGGGCUAAUAUCCCCGGGUCAUGACGGUACCGUAAGAAUAAGCACCGGCUAACUACGUGCCAGCAGCCGCGGUAAUACGUAGGGUGCAAGCGUUAAUCGGAAUUACUGGGCGUAAAGCGUGCGCAGGCGGUUUUGUAAGACAGUGGUGAAAUCCCCGGGCUCAACCUGGGAACUGCCAUUGUGACUGCAAGGCUAGAGUGCGGCAGGGGGGGAUGGAAUUCCGCGUGUAGCAGUGAAAUGCGUAGAUAUGCGGAGGAACACCGAUGGCGAAGGCAAUCCCCUGGGCCUGCACUGACGCUCAUGCA
rnacentral:rRNA from 1 species